UGCUCCAUGAAAUAUAUGGCCAUGAUGGUAUAAAGAAAGAAUAUCCUCUUUUCAAAAUUCUUCUGUUUCAUGUUCAGAAAAUGAAAGCUCUAGUUCCACAAUGAAGAGUUUUUUAUUGUCGAAGGAGGUGUGGGAGAAAGAAUGGAAUUGUAUUUUAGGGUUUAGAAAUUAUGAAAUUUAAAUUUUUACCCUAAUUAACUUUCUAGCUAUAGUUAAUCUUUUAAUCCUGUGGGAAGUACAACCAAAUAAAAAACUUGUAUAGUGAUUUAGUUGGGAACAUCAACAAUUCUGCGUCUGAAAAUCUCAACUCCCAAAUAAUCCAGAGGACCAUGAACAGCAACAUGAGGCUUCCCAACUUUUACACGGACAGCAGAUAUUUGAGGAUACUUUGUCAGGGUGGUAGAAGCAAUUUGUUGAGCCACUGACUCAAGAAGAUUAUGAGGUGGUCCCUCAACAACCUCCUUAACUAAGCUGUUGAACAAUCAAGGCAAAAAUCGUAAUAGACAAAAGGUUACAUAUUCUUAGUAGACCACCAUCCAGCAAGAAUCAAAGACUACAAGCAUUAACAUAGGAUUAAUAAUGAAUACGGUUUAAGGAGCCAUGAGAUACUAUUGAUAAAAUCUGGAUAAUCAGAAUGCUCAUUAAAAUAUUUUGUUAAUAUAGAGAAAACAUGAUGUGGAAGGUUUUGUGUAUAAAUAAAGCACCAACAUAUUGCUCACCGAUAAAUUUCAGUAUAGCUAAGAGUAUCUGACAGCUGGUCAGAUUUACCAGCUGCCCUGAGAUCCAUCCAGGCAUCUACAUCUAUCAUGAACUUCUGACCCAAUGUCCUUUCUGCUUUCAUCCCAUGGAAGCCACGGAACUUCAACCCUCCUAAUAUGAGUGUGCCUCCCCCAAUUAUCUUAUCGUUUUCCAUCAUUCCCUUGGGGCAAAACCCUGCAGCGAUUCCCCACCAGAUGUUCGUACACUGCUUGUGUUGCCGCUUCUAACCGCCAGGCUAGCCCGCACUAGGCACGAGCUACCAGCGGUUUCACCAUCUCCGGCGAAUGAUGAUGGCUGCGGAGGAAAAAGCACUUUGCGUUUGUGGUGUGGGAUUUCCAAUCAUUUUA
rnacentral:misc_RNA from 1 species